rnacentral:misc_RNA from 1 species
AGAUCGAAUGUUCAUAACGAAAACAGAAUGGGCCACGGAAUGGGGCGGCGCCAAAACCAAAGAGGUCACCCGUUUCAAGCGCCUCCCCUUCUAUUGCUGCGCUCUUACAUUUACCCCAUAUGAGUAUCCAGUGUGCACAGCAGAUGGAAGCGUCUUCGAUAUAAUGAACAUAACUCCGUACAUAAGGAAGUAUGGGAAGCAUCCAGUCACUGGAGCUCCGCUAAAGCUGGAGGAUCUUAUCCCUCUCACUUUUCACAAGAAUUCUGAAGGCGAGUAUCAUUGCCCUGUGCUAAACAAAGUUUUUACUGAAUUUACGCAUAUAGUUGCUGUGAAGACUACAGGAAAUGUUUUCUGCUAUGAGGCAAUUAAAGAAUUAAACAUCAAGACCAAAAACUGGAAGGAGCUU